CGGGAUGUGGCGCAGCUUGGUAGCGCAUCCGCUUUGGGAGCGGAGGGUCGCAGGUUCAAAUCCUGUCAUCCCGACGA
rnacentral:tRNA from 8 species